rnacentral:rRNA from 1 species
UACGUAGGAUGCAAGCGUUGUCCGGAGUUAUUGGGCGUAAAGCGCACGUAGGCGGUGCGGUAAGUGUGGUGUGAAAUCCGCGGGCUUAACCCGCGGCGGUCGCCGCAAACUGCCGUGCUUGAGGGCUGGAGAGGAAGACAGAAUUCCCGGUGUAGUGGUGAAAUGCGUAGAUAUCGGGAGGAACACCUGUGGCGAAAGCGGCUCACUGGACCACAACUGACGCUGAUGCACGAAAGCUAGGGGAGCAAACAGG